GAUGAACGCUGGCGGCAUGCCUAAAACAUGCAAGUCGAGCGGUAAGGCCCCUUCGGGGGUACACGAGCGGCGGACGGGUGAGUAACGCGUGGGAAUCUACCCCAAACUGAGGGAUAAGCAUUGGAAACGAUGUCUAAUACCGCAUAUGGUCUUCGGAUUAAAGCUUCGGCGGUUUGGGAAGAGCCCGCGUAAGAUUAGCUAGUUGGUGAGGUAAAGGCUCACCAAGGCGACGAUCUUUAGCUGGUUUGAGAGGAUGAUCAGUCACACUGGAACUGAGACACGGUCCAGACUCCUACGGGAGGGCAGCAGUUAGGAAUUUUCCUA
rnacentral:rRNA from 1 species